rnacentral:rRNA from 1 species
AUACGUAGGGUGCGAGCGUUGUCCGGAAUUACUGGGCGUAAAGAGCUCGUAGGUGGUUUGUUGCGUCGUCUGUGAAAUUCCGGGGCUUAACUCCGGGCGUGCAGGCGAUACGGGCAUAACUUGAGCACUGUAGGGGAGACUGGAAUUCCUGGUGUAGCGGUGAAAUGCGCAGAUAUCAGGAGGAACACCGGUGGCGAAGGCGGGUCUCUGGGCAGUAACUGACGCUGAGGAGCGAAAGCAUGGGUAGCGAACAGGAUUAGAUACCCUGGUAGUCCAUGCCGUAAACGGUGGGCGCUAGGUGUAGGGGUCUUCCACGACUUCUGUGCCGUAGCUAACGCAUUAAGCGCCCCGCCUGGGGAGUACGGCCGCAAGGCUAAAACUCAAAGGAAUUGACGGGG